AGGCCUUUAAUGACGCUAAAGCUCGAAGGUGCGGGUAUAGAACACGAUUAGAUAUCCUGGUAGUCUGCACGGUAAACGAUGGAUGCCCGCUGUUUGCGAUAUACUGUGAGCGGCCAAGAGAAAUCGUUAAGCAUCCCACUUGGGGAGUACGCCGGCAACGGUGAAACUCAAAGGAAUUGACGGGGGCCCGCACAAGCGGAGGAACAUGUGGUUUAAUUCGAUGAUACGCGAGGAACCUUACCCGGGCUUGAACUGCAGGCGAACGAUACAGAGAUGUUGAGGCCCUUCGGGGCGCCUGUGGAGGUGCUGCAUGGUUGUCGUCAGCUCGUGCCGUGAGGUGUCGGCUUAAGUGCCAUAACGAGCGCAACCCUUUUCAUUAGUUGCCAUCAGGUAAUGCUGGGCACUCUGGUGAUACUGCCACCGUAAGGUGUGAGGAAGGUGGGGAUGACGUCAAAUCAGCACGGCCCUUACGUCCGGGGCUACACACGUGUUACAAUGGGUGGUACAGAGAGUCGGAUCAACGCAAGUUGGUUCUAAUCCUUAAAGCCAUCCUCAGUUCGGAGGGGGGUCUGCAACCCGACCCCAUGAAGCUGGAUUCGCU
rnacentral:rRNA from 1 species